rnacentral:rRNA from 1 species
AGAGUUUGAUCAUGGCUCAGAUUGAACGCUGGCGGCAUGCCUUACACAUGCAAGUCGAACGGCAGCACGAGAGCUUGCUCUUGGUGGCGAGUGGCGAACGGGUGAGUAAUAUAUCGGAACGUACCCUAGAGUGGGGGAUAACGUAGCGAAAGUUACGCUAAUACCGCAUACGAUCUACGGAUGAAAGUGGGGGAUCGCAAGACCUCAUGCUCAUGGAGCGGCCGAUAUCUGAUUAGCUAGUUGGUGGGGUAAAAGCUCACCAAGGCGACGAUCAGUAGCUGGUCUGAGAGGACGACCAGCCACACUGGAACUGAGACACGGUCCAGACUCCUACGGGAGGCAGCAGUGGGGAAUUUUGGACAAUGGGCGCAAGCCUGAUCCAGCAAUGCCGCGUGAGUGAAGAAGGCCUUCGGGCUGUAAAGCUCUUUUGUCAGGGAAGAAACGGUGGACUCUAAUACAGAUCACUAAUGACGGUACCUGAAGAAUAAGCACCGGCUAACUACGUGCCAGCAGCCGCGGUAAUACGUAGGGUGCAAGCGUUAAUCGGAAUUACUGGGCGUAAAGCGUGCGCAGGCGGUUGUGCAAGACAGAUGUGAAAUCCCCGGGCUCAACCUGGGAAUUGCAUUUGUGACUGCACGGCUAGAGUGUGUCAGAGGGGGGUAGAAUUCCACGUGUAGCAGUGAAAUGCGUAGAGAUGUGGAGGAAUACCGAUGGCGAAGGCAGCCCCCUGGGAUAACACUGACGCUCAUGCACGAAAGCGUGGGGAGCAAACAGGAUUAGAUACCCUGGUAGUCCACGCCCUAAACGAUGUCUACUAGUUGUCGGGUCUUAAUUGACUUGGUAACGCAGCUAACGCGUGAAGUAGACCGCCUGGGGAGUACGGUCGCAAGAUUAAAACUCAAAGGAAUUGACGGGGACCCGCACAAGCGGUGGAUGAUGUGGAUUAAUUCGAUGCAACGCGAAAAACCUUACCUACCCUUGACAUGUCUGGAAUCCUUGAGAGAUCAGGGAGUGCUCGAAAGAGAAUCAGAACACAGGUGCUGCAUGGCUGUCGUCAGCUCGUGUCGUGAGAUGUUGGGUUAAGUCCCGCAACGAGCGCAACCCUUGUCAUUAGUUGCUACGAAAGGGCACUCUAAUGAGACUGCCGGUGACAAACCGGAGGAAGGUGGGGAUGACGUCAAGUCCUCAUGGCCCUUAUGGGUAGGGCUUCACACGUCAUACAAUGGUACAUACAGAGGGCCGCCAACCCGCGAGGGGGAGCUAAUCCCAGAAAGUGUAUCGUAGUCCGGAUUGUAGUCUGCAACUCGACUACAUGAAGUUGGAAUCGCUAGUAAUCGCGGAUCAGCAUGUCGCGGUGAAUACGUUCCCGGGUCUUGUACACACCGCCCGUCACACCAUGGGAGCGGGUUUCACCAGAAGUGGGUAGCCUAACCGCAAGGAGGGCGCUCACCACGGUGGGAUUCGUGACUGGGGUGAAGUCGUAACAAGGUA